CCACAUAAAGUGGGUAUGCCACUUUAAGAGAAGAGGUUAAGGAAGCUGGGUGGUCUGCCUGGCCAAUGAGAAGUUUGGUUUCCAGAGCGUCUGGACCAAUCAGGGUGCAGGCUGCCGUUGUGGAUCCCGCCCUUCUCCCCCGGGUCUGCAGUACCGUUGGUUUUGCUCUAGAGAUCCGACGCGGUGAGACUGCUGAGCGGGGCAGCGCCAGAGUAUGUAUCCCGACAGUUAAAAGUAUUUUUUACGUGCUGUAUUAACUGUAUUGUGGAUAAACUCUUUUGUAAAUAGAUUUUAUGUUGAUUGUCCAGCUUUUGUGCUGGAAAUUAUUUAUUAAAUGAAUACAAACUGAACUUCAGUUUUUUACCGUUAGAGCCGUUAGGAAUCGUUGGCUCUUUCUGGCAGUUAUUUCAGCUUGUUCUUCGUAGAUAAAAGUGCCCCACGCAUCCGGAUUGAGACCCACUAUACGGUUGUCUGAAGUGUGUCGCACUGAGAUCGGUCAGGUUUUUUUUUAUACUGGAUCAUUCCUGAAGUGGAUCCCUCCUUUGAUAUUGAUGGCGAGCCUUCCCACCUGGACCUAAAGAGAGAACCAGAUUUCGUCUAUCCCAUUUGGAGUCAUGCUGCACCCUGCGGUGUGGUAGGAGAGCAACAUACAUCUUCACACACGGUUAUGUGUGAAACCUACAACUGACAUUCUCCAUUAUUAUUGUUUCUUUUAUUUAUUGAUUUUUGGACAAUACUGUUUGGAUUGUUUUAUUUCGGACAUUGUGACGCACAGCUGUGGUGGAAAUUCUCCUGUGAAUGAAGUUGAAUCAAACCAAAUUGGGAUUAAUUUGAUUAAUCUGCUGACUAAUACAAUUUGGAGUGCAGAUUACCAGGGUGCACCCGAAUUAUUUGAAAUUAAGAAUUAGCACUUGGCCAAGUAUUAUUGUUAUUUCUUUUUUUUUUUCAUUUUAUUGUGUGUAAUUUUAUUUUCAUAAUUGUGUGUUUUGUGCAACUGUUAAUUGUGUGUUUUCUGUCACUAAAACCAGUUCUUUAAAUACACCCAACUGCCCUUGUGUGUCAUUUAAACACUCCACUGUGCUCCGAUAGCCGAACCUAUUGGCCCAUUUAUCCAAAAUAUAUGUAAUACCCUUCUCUACUGUG